GGAAUAGCUCAGUGGCAGAGCACAUACCUAGCAUGCAUGAGGUCCUGGGUUCAAGUCCCAGUACUUCCA
rnacentral:tRNA from 1 species